GAUGAACGCUGGCGGCGUGCUUAACACAUGCAAGUCGAACGGAGGAUCUUCGCCGAGGAAGCUUCGGCCGAAUCAUGAAGAUUCUUAGUGGCGGACGGGUGAGUAACGCGUGGGUAGCCUGCCCCAGACAGGGGGAUAACAGUUAGAAAUGACUGCUAACACCGCAUAAGCGCACGGUAAGGCAUCUUACAGUGUGAAAAUAUUUAUAGGUCUGGGAUGGGCCCGCGUCUGAUUAGCCAGUUGGCAGGGUAAUGGCCUACCAAAGCAACGAUCAGUAGCCGGCUUGAGAGAGUGAACGGCCACAUUGGGACUGAGACACGGCCCAAACUCC
rnacentral:rRNA from 1 species